CCUACGGGAGGCAGCAGUGGGGAAUAUUGGACAACGGGGGCAACCCUGAUCCAGCCAUGCCGCGUGGGUGAAGAAGGCCUUCGGGUUGUAAAGCCCUUUUGGCGGGGAGGAAGGGUGUGAGGUGAAUAAUCUCGCACUUUGACGUUACCCGCAGAAUAAGCACCGGCAAACUCCGUGCCAGCAGCCGCGGUAAU
rnacentral:rRNA from 1 species